rnacentral:lncRNA from 1 species
AUCUGCAGUGUCGUUUUGCCUACAGAAUAAUUUUCUAGCUCUUAAAAGCAUUUUCGCGUGGGUGCAUGGUGAGGCUAGGCAGGGCAAGGGGUGACAGCGGGGCACGGUUUUCUCAGGCAAAGGUCACUCUUAGUCUUUCGGCAGAGUGCUCUCGCGUACUCGUGGGAGCGCUGAUUUUUGCAUGACAGCGACGUGGGGGUUCGUGUUUUUCGUGUUCUUUUCAAGCGCCUCUGCCAAAUACCUUAAACCUGCUUGCCACCAGUCUAUCAGCGACCCUGCAGGAGGCCGCCAUGACACCGCUGAUCUGGUGAUGAUAGCUGCGUUACAAAUGUCUAAAUAUCUAACUUCCCACUCUUUUUUGGAAUUGAUGAAGACCUAUCUGGGUACAUCUGGUGCGUCACGGAGUACAGCAACGUCGAGCAUGCCAAAACAAAGUUAACACCAGAUCGAACGCAACGGCAAAAUUAACGCGUAGAGUGCGUUCUAUCAAAGCCGAUUAACACGCAAUCUGACAGCUUAACAUCAUCAUGCUGAAUUAUCGGAACCUCAUCCAAGCAAUAAUGGCAUCAAAGCAGCUCGAACGCACAAGCUCGUCGAAUGGUGUCGUGGUUUUCCACCGCUGAAGAGGCACAACAUGUAUGUUCCACAUUGCUGCAGCAAGACUGUUUGUCCCGCACUUGCACGUCACGCCGUGUAUUGUACAAUCAGUUUACGACUUCAUCUCUUCAUUUGCAUAAACUCCCGACGCCGAACGCUUGCGGGCAUCACCCUAGCGUUCAAACCUUCUUCAGAAGCAUCUUGUGUUUUUCAUAGUCCGAGUCUAGUCAGAAGGGCACCAAGAUGAUAAAUUAAAGAGGUCUGAGUUGUAUGCGCCAUUUGCCCAAGUGGACACUUGAAGCCUGUGCUUCCUCGAUCUGACCAGCGUGUCUAAGUCUAUGUUCGGCACUAAAAAUACCAAACAUCUGAGAUUGGUGACGGGCUGGGGAAGAAACGACAUCAGCGUCAUGACCAGACUCGUUUGUCGCAGCGAGCGUUUCUCUGACUUGUAUCCUUGGGACGCUGAAGGCUCGGCAAGGAGAG